GACGAACGCUGGCGGCGUGCCUAAUACAUGCAAGUAGGACGCAGUUGCGAACGGGUGAGUAACGCGUUGGUAACUGCCUAUUAGAGGGGGAUAACUAUUGGAAACGAUAGCUAAUACCCCAUACUAGUAGAUGUACCUGCGUUGUAUUAACUAGUAGGUAGGGUAAUGGCCUACCUAGGCGACGAUACAUAGCCGAACUGAGGGGUGGGUCGGACAGACUUGAAAGCAGACACGGCCCGGACGCCUACGGUAGGCAGCAGUAGGGAGUCUUCUGAAAUGGGGGGAACCCUGACCGAGCAACGCCGCGUGAGUGAAGAAGGUUUUCGGAUCGUAAAACUCUGUUGUUAGAGAAGCGGUAUCUAACCAGAAAGCCACGGAUAACUACGUGCCAGCAGCCGCGGUAAUAC
rnacentral:rRNA from 1 species